rnacentral:rRNA from 1 species
AUGAUAUGCUUCAAUAGUAGCUGGCCUGGCCAUUAUGUGGGGAACUGUGUGGAGCCUAAGAAAUGUUUUAUCGGUGCUGGGAACCAUAAUGUCAACAACUGUGCUGCUUGGGCCAAACCUCAACCUGCUGCCACAUAUUUUGGUAGUGCUGCUUCUGGGUUAGGGUUCUAUCACAUUGAAGUUCCUGUUGCUGCUGAAUCUAGUUGGCUCAAUUACAAAAACUGUGCUGUUCUUAAGGUGGUGAAGGGAGAGGUUUCUGCCUCUGAACUCCUGACUCAGUUAAAUGGAAUCUUCUGCAAGAAUAAGGAGUGGCCAUGGCAAAUCAGAGAGCUGGAAAGUAAGAAAUUUCUGUUCAGAUUUCCACCUUGGAAAAAUGUGGAUGACCUAAUUGAGUUUCCUCCUUUUGAGUUGCCUGUUGCUGGAGUGUCAGUUAAAAUCUGUGAAUGGGAAGGUAUGCUGGAUGAAUUUGGGGCCCUGACCGAAGCCUGGGUACAGAUCGAAGGUAUCCCACCUAAAUGGUGCGCCUGGAAGGUAUUUGCCCAGAUUGCUGCUUGCUUUGGCAUCCUUGUGGAUGUGGACUGGAAUGGCAUUUUCAAAAGCUUCUAUGAAAAGGUUCGAGUUAAAAUUUCUUGUAGAGACCCCAGGAAAAUUCCCUUUGAGAGGCUGGUGGAAAUGAAAAAGAAACUGUACUUACUGUUUUUUACAGUGGAGGGUUUUGAUCAAAUUGAUGAGAACAAUGAUGGAGAGGAUGAUGAUCCAUAGCUGGAUAACCUAGAGGGAAAUGAGGAAAACUUGAAUAAAGAUCCUGAAGAAAAGGAGGGUAUGCAAGAG